CGUAGCUGGGACGUAACCCGGGAGAGUGGAGGUGGGAGGUAACGGGGGUAUCUGACGAUCGCCCUCCAAGUGGAAAAUGAAGUCAUGCCUCCCUGCUGGUCAAAACUAGCGCGUUUAAGAAGAGAGGUGGAAGAAGAUGUGUUGCUCAUAGCUGGAAUUGCGCAUUACUACCGAAAGAAAACCAAACGAAGGAAACAUAAGUGCUGGGUCCAUGCAAUAUUGAAACAGAGAAAAAUAUUUGGAACGUACCAUCAUCUGGUUAAAGAACUUGAGUUGGAUUCAAAAGUAUUCCAACAAUACUUUCGUUUAAGCAGGGAACAAUGUCAGCAAGUUUUGUUGCAUUUAGAGCCACACUUUGUCAAAAUAAACCUAACAAGAGAAACCAUCAGUCCAACGGAACGACUUACAAUUUGUUUGAGGUAAUAACAUAAACAUACACAUGUAUAUAUUUUGUUAAGUUCUGUUUAUUUGCAAAAACAUGUAAUACAAAUAUCAAAGUUAUACAAUGACUGUAGUAUGAACUAUUUCCUGAAAAUCAUGAAUAGUGAGCAUUUGCCAUCCUGGCCCUAUUGUAUCUAAAAUACCGAAUGCAAACGUUACAGUGCUCUAUACAUUAAGGUUGCCAUAAUAAAGAAACAUAUUAA